UACGAAGGGGGCUAGCGUUGCUCGGAAUCACUGGGCGUAAAGGGUGCGUAGGCGGGUCUUUAAGUCAGGGGUGAAAUCCUGGAGCUCAACUCCAGAACUGCCUUUGAUACUGAAGAUCUUGAGUUCGGGAGAGGUGAGUGGAACUACGAGUGUAGAGGUGAAAUUCGUAGAUAUUCGCAAGAACACCAGUGGCGAAGGCGGCUCACUGGCUCGAUACUGACGCUGAGGUGCGAAAGCGUGGGGAGCAAACAGG
rnacentral:rRNA from 1 species